rnacentral:rRNA from 1 species
UACGUAGGUGGCUUGGUAAGUCGAAUGUGAAGGCCCUGGGCUUAACCUGGGAACUGCAUCCGAAACUGCCUGGCUGGAGUAAGGGAGAGGGAAGUGGAAUUUCCGGUGUAGCGGUGAAAUGCGUAGAUAUCGGAAGGAACACCAGUGGCGAAGGCGACUUCCUGGCCCAUUACUGACACUGAGGUACGAAAGCGUGGGGAGCAAACA